GACGAACGCUGGCGGCGUGCUUAACACAUGCAAGUCGAACGGUAAGGCCCUUCGGGGUACACGAGUAGCGAACGGGUGAGUAACACGUGGGUGAUCCGCCCUGCACUUCGGGAUAAGCCGGGGAAACUGGGUCUAAUACCGGAUAGGACCACGCUCUGCACGGGUGGUGGUGGAACGCUGUUGAGGUGUGGGAUGGGCCGGCGGCCUAUCAGCUUGGUGGGGGGGUGAUGGGCUACCAAGGCGACGAGGGGUAGCCGGCCUGAGAGGGGGACCGGCCCCACUGGGACUGAGAUACGGCCCAGACUCCUACGGGAGGCAGGAGUGGGGAAUAUUGCACAAUGGGCGCAAGCCUGAUGCAGCGACGCCGCGUGAGGGAUGACGGCCUUCGGGUUGUAAACCUCUUUCAGCACCGACGAAGCGCAAGUGACGGUAGGUGCAGAAGAAGGACCGGCCAACUACGUGCCAGCAGCCGCCGUAA
rnacentral:rRNA from 1 species